UAGGGAAUCUUCCGCAAUGGGCGAAAGCCUGACGGAGCAACGCCGCGUGAGUGAUGAAGGUCUUCGGAUCGUAAAACUCUGUUAUUAGGGAAGAACAAAUGUGUAAGUAACUAUGCACGUCUUGACGGUACCUAAUCAGAAAGCCACGGCUAACUACGUGCCAGCAGCCGCGGUAAUACGUAGGUGGCAAGCGUUAUCCGGAAUUAUUGGGCGUAAAGCGCGCGUAGGCGGUUUUUUAAGUCUGAUGUGAAAGCCCACGGCUCAACCGUGGAGGGUCAUUAGAAGCUGGAAAACUGGAGUGCAUAAGAGGAGAGUGGAAUUCCAUGUGUAGCGGUGGAAUGCGCAGAGGUAUGGAGGAACACCAGUGGCGAAGGCGACUUUCUGGUCUGUAACUGCCGCUGAUGAGCGAAAGCGUGGGGAUCAAACAGG
rnacentral:rRNA from 1 species